rnacentral:rRNA from 1 species
UCCAGACUCCUACGGGAGGCAGCAGUGGGGAAUAUUGCACAAUGGGGGAAACCCUGAUGCAGCGACGCCGCGUGAGCGAUGAAGUAUUUCGGUAUGUAAAGCUCUAUCAGCAGGGAAGAAAAUGACGGUACCUGACUAAGAAGCCCCGGCUAACUACGUGCCAGCAGCCGCGGUAAUACGUAGGGGGCAAGCGUUAUCCGGAUUUACUGGGUGUAAAGGGGGCGCAGACGGCGAUGCAAGCCAGGAGUGAAAGCCCGGGGCUCAACUCCGGGACUGCUUUUGAAACUGUGAAACUUGAGUGCAGGAGAGGUAAGCGGAAUUCCUGGUGUAGCGGUGAAAUGCGUAGAUAUCAGGAGGAACACCAGUGGCGAAGGCGGCUUACUGGACUGUAACUGACGUUGAGGCUCGAAAGCGUGGGGAGCAAACAGGAUUAGAUACCCUAGUAU